rnacentral:lncRNA from 1 species
AAAUGGUCGUGUAAUAAGCAAAUAACUAUGGACCAAAGCACACAAACUCAAUUCCAAAAAUAUUUUCCCUAAAUUUAAUUAGUAAAAAAAGGAAAUAAAAAUAAAAAUGGAAUAAUGAAAAGAAAAAGAAAAAAAAACAAUGUUGUAAGAGAAGUCAGUGCUUCAUUUUAAAUCAUUUGACCAAUUUUCCAAAUUUUAACACCAACCUAUCAUUGUGAAACACAUGUCAUCUAAUAAAAAAAAACUCAUCAUCUUUCUCGUAUCUC